GAUGAACGCUGGCGGCGUGCCUAAUACAUGCAAGUCGAGCGAACAGACGAGGAGCUUGCUCCUCUGACGUUAGCGGCGGACGGGGGAGUAACACGUGGAUAACCUACCUAUAAGACUGGGAUAACUUCGGGAAACCGGAGCUAAUACCGGAUAAUAUAUUGAACCGCAUGGUUCAAUAGUGAAAGACGGUUUUGCUGUCACUUAUAGAUGGAUCCGCGCCGCAUUAGCUAGUUGGUAAGGUAACGGCUUACCAAGGCAACGAUGCGUAGCCGACCUGAGAGGGUGAUCGGCCACACUGGAACUGAGACACGGUCCAGACUCCUACGGGAGGCAGCAGUAGGGAAUCUUCCGCAAUGGGCGAGAGCCUGACGGAGCAACGCCGCGUGAGUGAUGAAGGUCUUCGGCUCGUAAAACUCUGUUAUUAGGGAAGAACAAAUGUGUAAGUAACUAUGCACGUCUUGACGGUACCUAAUCAGAAAGCCACGGCUAACUACGUG
rnacentral:rRNA from 1 species